UUGCGCUCUCCACAGAAACCCCCCUCCGACUUACCGCAGACUAAUACCACACUCGAAUAGCCGAUAUAUAUUUUUUUUCAAUUUUUCUUCGGUUAGAUACGAGCGAAUAUUUCCUCCUACUCUUGAGUUUUGCCUCAUAAAAUGUACAUCGCCCCGUGGGCAUGCGGGGAGACAGUACGUUAUUAAAGGCCUCUUAGCGAAUAGUGUAUUAUUAUAUUUUUUUUUUUCGUCGGGAUUUUUUUCGUCUUGCGUUUCUCGUUGAGACUUAGCUAUGAUGCUAUUUUAAGCCUGCACAACAACAGCUAUAUACGUCUCUCGAAUGUGAGUCAAACUCCGGUAGUUCCUCCGCCUGCUUGUUUGUUCUUCAACAGAUUUUUCUAUUUCCUCCAUUUCACGACAUUUUUUCCGAUGCCGAGCAACGAACGCGAACAAUAACCAAGACGCACGGGGAGCCGCAUUGAAAAACUCGCGUCAACUCCCAGCUUGGAAUCGUCAGAGACGCGUUUCCAUUGACUUUUCCGAGAAAACCUAUUUCAUACGAGGAAAGAACGACGGACGAGGGAGAGAGCGAGAGACCGGAAGGGUCGAAGAAACACAGAGUGCAUAGACGUUAUGAUGGAACGUCACAGGAAUAAAGUGUCGAAGGAAUAGACGGCAAAGGAGUUUAAGUUUUCUCCGUGGUUCAAGUUCAUGCGCUAACUGGAGAUAACGAAGAAGAAGAAGAAGCGCGACGCACCGAGAGCCGAUCUACCACCACGCACUUUUUCCUCUUUUCCCUCCCUCUUUCUCUUUCUACUUCGACCAACCAAGUUUCGUCGAGUUUCGACGAAUGCUCGCCAGAAGGAAAAAAACGUAAGAGUGAAAAAAGGAAGAAAACGAUACUUUGUAGAUUCUUCGAAUGGCAAUAAAACGAGCGGAGCAAAGUCUUCCCGGUGCCCCGACUGUUUACACCUACCUACACCUAAUAAUUAUCACCACCGAGGAAUAACUCAGAGCGCGAACCACGCUUCACCGAGAACAGCCCAGUCACAGAUACCCGCAUACAGUCAACUCUUGUAUACAAGACGGAUUAACAAAACAGGAAUUUCAACAAAGAGCAUCGCUUUUCGAAAAUACUCUUCCUUCUUCAUUUCUCCUUCCCUCAAACUCAUCCUCCCUCCCGCUCUCUCUCUCUCUCUCUCUCUCUCUUCCUAAGGGAGAAAUAUGAAAAUCCACUCACCCUAUCUUCGUGAUGAGCUUUCCGUGAACGUGAAGAUACGACGUUAUGAAGCGUUUGUUUACCUGUGAAAAUAGAGGCAAAUUUUCAGAAUAUAUUCCACUGUAAAUAUUAGCAUAGGAAGUCUCGCAAAAAGAGUUAUAACAUUUUUUCUCGACACUUCCGUACUGAGACGUGAAAUUUUAUCAAGAGUCGUAAUAGCGGCUCGAAGCCAAAUAUUAAAAACAGUAGUAACACGAUUUAUUGAGAAACUGCUGCUUUUAAACCGGAAGAAUUUCGAAAGCCACCGUAAGAAGAUGAAAAAUGUAAUUAAUGAAAAAUAAAGUCUCCUCAUUCAUACACUGAA